GACCCUGCCAGCACCUUAUGAGAAAUCAAAGUUUUUGGGUUCCGGGGGAGUAUGGUCGCAAGGCUGAAACUUAAAGGAAUUGACGGAAGGGCACCACCAGGCGUGGAGCNUGCGGCUUAAUUUGACUCAACACGGGGAAACUUACCAGGUCCAGACACGGGGAGGAUUGACAGAUUGAGAGCUCUUUCUUGAUUCUGUGGGUGGUGGUGCAUGGCCGUUCUUAGUUGGUGGGUUGCCUUGUCAGGUUGAUUCCGGUAACGAACGAGACCUCAGCCUGCUAAAUAGUCACGGCUACUUUUUUGUAGCCGUCCGACUUCUUAGAGGGACUAUUGUCGUUUAGGCAAUGGAAGUGUGAGGCAAUAACAGGUCUGUGAUGCCCUUAGAUGUUCUGGGCCGCACGCGCGCUACAUUGUUGCAUUCAACGAGCCUAUCCUUGACCGAGAGGUCCGGGUAAUCUUUGAAACUGCAACGUGAUGGGGAUAGAUUAUUGCAAUUAUUAGUCUUCAACGAGGAAUGCCUAGUAAGCGCGAGUCAUCAGCUCGCGUUGAUUACGUCCCUGCCCUUUGUACACACCGCCCGUCGCUCCUACCGAUUGGGUGUGCUGGUGAAGUGUUCGGAUUGGUUUUAGUUGAUGGCAACAUUGGCUUUUACUGAGAAGAUCAUUAAACCCUCCCACCUAGAGGAAGGAGAAGUCGUAACAAGGUA
rnacentral:rRNA from 1 species